AUGGGAAAAACAAUGAAGACACCCAUUGGAGCUUUAAUCACGUUCUUAUGGCUACAGCUGGACUGGGUCAGUCUUGGAAACGAGGUGGAGCAGAGUCCUUCUACCCUGAGUGUCCAGGAGGGAAACACUGCUUUUAUCACCUGCACUUAUACAGACACUGCUUCAGAGUAUUUCCCUCGGUAUAAGCAAGAACCUGGGAAAGGUCCCCAGCUCCUUGUAGCUAUUCGUUCAAAUAUGGGUGAAAAAAAAGACCAGAGGCUGACUGUUUUAUUGAAUAAGACCGCCAAACGUCUCUCCCUGCACAUCGCAACCAUCCAGCCUGGAGACUCAGCUGUCUGCUUCUGUGCAGCAAGGACACAGCGCUGCCCAGGCAGCUGCUACCUGUACUCAUACUUGUGA